UGGCCACCCGCCGCCGGCUGGUCCUUCCGGGCCCGGGGACAGUCCUGCUGGGGAGACAGAAAAAUGCCACAAACUAGCUUAAUAUCCAUGUGCGAUGCGUGCUCUGGGCUAAUAAACGGGGGAUAGGUUGCUCGAGCAACAGUGCACCAUGUCUGCUGUGUCAGUCAGCUUUAAUGAAGGAGCCAACUGCAUAUGCAUGGGGUGUGAAUUCCCUCGUUUCUGGAGUCAGGGUGUCAAGCUCAUUCAAUAGCUGACAGCUGUGAUUAGAGCAAAGCACGACUCCAGCAUAAAAAGCACCGACAGGAGAGGCCAACUGCUGAAAAAGAAAUAAGAAGUAGCCAAAUAGACUUCCAACCAACAGUCAAGUUUGACUCACUGUACCCAGGAAAUCAAUGAGGGGCCACAUUAGGAGAAUGAGUGACCAGCCACGACUGGCAGCAAAUAGUUGCCCGUCAUGUAUCUGAGAAAGGACUUGAUCUGUAAUAAAGAACUCUUAAAACUCAACAGUGAAAAAAUGCAAAUAAUCCAGUUAGAAAACGGGCAAAAGACAGAAGGAGACUUUCCCCUGAAGAGGAUGUAGAGAUGGUAGAUGUUCAACGUCUUUUUAACGGCUGAAUAGCAUUCCAUGGUAUACGUUGCAUCUUUUCUAUUAACCUGGUUGGAUUCAGAGAACAUCCUUCUACGUAAAGUAUCCCAAGAAUGGAAAAGCAAGUAUCCAAUGUACUCACUACUAACAUGAACCUAGUAGAUGAACCACUACGUGCUCACACGAGAUGAAAACGCAACCACUUUCAAGUAGGGAGGAAGGGGAAAAAGGGGGAGCAGAGGGGAGGAGGGAGUGGCUGGGCAUGCGAUCACCUAACGGGCACAACUCAGGGGUCUGUGGCACACUUCUGGGAGAAGGGCUCAACUACAACUUGGACUUGACCUAAUAAACACAAACAAUGUAAUCUAAUCGUUUGUACCCUUCUAUCAAUUGGAAACAUAAAAAGAGAUUCAGCAUUAUGAGCCCUGGGGAAAUGCACAUUGAAACCGCAAUGAAAUAUCAUUAGACACCUCUCAGAAUGGCUAAAAUAAAACAAAUGGCAAACACUGGAAAGACCACAGGGCAACUGGAUCGCUCACACAUUGCAGUUUCAUUGUGGGGGUUUUCUCUGUAUUUAUCCUACUCGGGGUUGGUUGUGCCUCUUGAAACUGUGGAUUCAUGUUUUUUGUCAGUUCUAGCCAAUUUUCAUCUUGUGUUUUGCCAGUUUCCAAUAAUUUUAAAAAUGUUUUUUUUUUUUAAUGAGUGAAUACAGACUAUGAGCCUUUUCUAAGGGAGUCGGCUGAGUAUUGACCAUACUCUGCAUGCAGUGGUCCCAUCUACACAAUGGUAAGUAUAAAAAGAAAGCAACAAUUAUACACACACAUAUAUACCGUUACCCCCAUAACAUGCUAAACCAUCUCUACUUGGUUUUCACAUGCAGGAUCUGCCGAUUAGCGUUUCGUGUAUGCUAGGCUAGUUUUACUCUUGGUUUUAUUUCCUAAUUAAAGUAAACAGUUGUCAACACAGGUACAUUGCACACUUUUCUGGGUGAAGGGCACAGCUAAAACUUUGACUUAAAAUAUACAGAAGCAAACGAGGUAACCAAAUUGUCUGUACCCCAAUAAUAUUCUGAAAUUAAAAAAAAAUCGUCAGGGUGAAGGCAGUGAAAUGUCCCAAGGUCACCAUACAUACAUACCUAGGGAAAGUGGGAAAUUGUAGCUAAAUGUACCCUUAUUUAUAAAAUAUUUAUUACAAAAUUUUAUAAAAUAUUUCUCUACAUGUUGAUAUAUAAAUAUACAUAUAAAGUAUUUUAUAUACAAUAUUAUGAAUAAUAUAAAAUACAACAUGAGUUUGUCGCUUUUCCUAUGUGUGACAACCUUUGGGACACCCUGUACCCUCCUCAGGCCUUUAAAAGCCAAAGAUAUUGGAUACAGAAUGUUGGGGGCAGGCCAUUGCCCCUCUAGAAACUGUAGUAAUCUAUUUUUGUUACCUGGUGCAAUUUUCUGAGCAUCUCCCUGCGCUCUGUCUUAGUUGACCCCUGAGCCUAUCCGAUAGCUUCAUUUUGCAGAUGUGAUUUCUGAGGCAAGAAAGUCAAAUGACAAAAUAGGGGUCUGGAGUGGAAAAUCUCAUUUCACACCAUUCUGGAGCUUUCCCCAGGAUGGCUCUGAUUCUGUGUUUGAGUGCCUGUUAUAUACUCUCCAAGUUAUCUAGACGGUCUUUGCUAUUUUAGUUCCAAAAUACCACAGUCCAUCCAUGGACACAAUGAGUGCCCUGAGUGAGAAACCAAGUUGAGCUCCCCGUCUUCCUUCUGUGCUAUUUUGAUAACUGCAUACGAGAGAGAAGACUUUUUUUACCUGCUUGACAAAAGG